CAUUCCUUUUUGAGAAAGCCACAAGGACAAGAGUACCAAGGAAUAUAUUCACAAGUAACCAAUGUCCACAUCAGACUUUCCAAAGAAUUUGAUUUGGAUGGAAGUUGUUUAAAAAGUAAAUAAAAAAUAAAAACAUUGAAAGUGGUGGCUACUGAAGAACUUUGCCGGACUCACUGAUACUGAAGAGGACCAGUGCCUUCAUGCACAGGAACUCCUCUUGAGUGACCUUCAGCAUGCAGAACCGUUGGGACAGAACCUUCAUUCGCACACAGUGCUCAUACAUACUGGAUACCUGCAUCCGCUGGCUGCAUGGAAAAAUAAAUAAAUAACGCAGGAUCAGAAAAAGGAGCACAAGAUAUGAGAAAAGAAGAUGCAUGGUGGAUCAGGUCUCUGCAAUGUGUAAGGGUGACUUACUCAUUGAAAACAAGGUCUGGAGCAAAGUAGAGCAUGGAGCUGUUGGUUUGGGUGUAGGACCUCCAACCCAGAGCAAACACCAUCACGCCCAUCCAGG